GACGAACGCUGGCGGCGUGCCUAACACAUGCAAGUCGAACGGAAAGGCCCUGCUUUUGCGGGGUGUUCGAGUGGCGAACGGGUGUGUAUCACGUGAGUAACCUGUCCUUGACUUUGGGAUAACUCCAGGAAACAGGGGCUAUUACCGGAUAGGAGCUCUUGCUGCAUGGUGGGGGUUGGAAAGUUUCGGCGGUUGGGGAUGGACGCGCGGCUUAUCAGCUUGUUGGUGGGGUAGUGGCGUACCAAGGCUUUGACGGGUAGCCGGCCUGAGAGGGGGACCGGGCACAAUGGGCCUGAGGUAGGGCCCAGAGUGCUACGGGAGGCAGCAGUGGAAAAUAUUGCGCAAUGGGCCGAAGCCUGAUGCAGCGACGUCGGGUGCGGGAUGACGGCCUUUGGGGUAUAAACCGCUUUCGCCUGUGACGAAGCGUGAGUGACGGUAACGAGUCAAGAAGCACCGGCUAACUACGUG
rnacentral:rRNA from 1 species